GCACCAUUAAGCAGCAUUCGAUUUGAGAUACAAUGGAAAAUUCUGCUGCUGCAAUGGGUCCCUGUCCUUGGCAAUAUUCAUAUGUCACAGAUCACCUGAAUGAAGCUCGUGGACUAUGAGCCCCAGUUUGGGAACCCCUUCAUCUAUAGAAUCUCCGUCUGAUCCAGGCAGAAGCCAGUAGCUUAUCCCCAUCUUGUUUUACAGAUUUGCUGUGUCUAUGUGUUGUGGUAUCUGCAUUUGUUUCCUACAAUUUUCUGACAAUCUUGUCUCAGCCAAGAGCCAGUUUGUACAUAAAUCUAUAUCACUUGGUUACUCCAUACUGAUGACUUGCAAAUGCAUGUUUGAACCGCUUCCAUCAAAAUCCAACUGUGACCUGAGGUAUAUAUCUGCAGUGUUUGAUCUGUGAUUCACACAUACAUGUCAGCACUUCAUGGUGCCAUCAUAGAGCAAUGAACAUGCAAGUGUGAGCCAGCCCUAAGAUGUAUAAGAAGCCACUUCUCUCAGGCCAGGUUUUAAAAUGAUGCUAAGCAUAGUUUUUAAAUAAAACAACUUACUUGCAUAGAGUUAUGUGCAGCCAGAAUAACUUUAAAUAGGGGUACAGUUCCUGCACAAGCAGUGGUCACAUUCCAAGAAUCUGUGGCCAGUCUAUAUGCUGUGUUUGCACGAGAGUGCUGCAUAUAUGUGACACAAGAUACAUAAAAUUCUAUAAGAGAGUAUUGUGGUUGUUGGUUGGUUGGUUGAAAUAAAAACAUAAUCUUAAAGAAGGCCUGAUUGAGAGGAUCCUCUGAAAAAUAUCAUCCCAAUGCAAGGGCAACCUUGGACCAGUCCCAAUCUCUCAGUCUAAUCUACCACGCAGGGUUGUUGUUAUUUGUUUUAUUUAGUUAGUUCUACAUUUAAAUCCUACAUUUCCUCCUAGGAGCUCAAGGUGCCAUACACACUUCUGCUUCUCAUUUUAUCCUCACAACAACCCUGUGAGGUAGGUUAGGAUGAGAUAUUGUGACUGGCCCAAGAGGAACUCCAAGGCUAAAGGGGAAUUUGAAAACUGGUCUCCCAGGUUCUAGGCCAACGCCCUAGACAUUACACACACUGGCUUGUUAGGUUAAACGAGGGAAAACAUGUCUGCUGGCCUGAGCUUUUCAGAGGAAGGGUGGGAUAAAAAUGGAAUAAGAAGGAAGUCCUAUUGAAUUUGAUGGAGCUUGCCGCCAGAUAAGCAAGUUAGGACUGCAGCCUUAAUUAGUUGGUUAGUGUUACAUUGUUUGAGAAGACGUUAGCUUUGACCGAGACCACGGAACUCACUGCAAGUGGAGGUCAUUACAAAAAAUGCCCAUGGAUCCCCAGGUACGAUUAAUAUUUUUAUCUUUUCUGUAGUACCGGAAAUGGUUCAAAUAGGCAAAAGUGAAAUGAUUCCAACUGGACAUAUUGCAUAAAUCUGAAUCUAAAGUGAUGUAUACUCACAGUAAUUGAGGGAUUUAAGGCUUUGCUUUCAUAUCUUGUAUGUAUAUGAAUUGGGAAUGAGGGACAGUCAAGAAAGAAUUUUAUCCAAGCAAAUAAAUUACUAAGCAUGGCUAGUGCCUGAACUCAAAAAAUAUUCAAGCUGGUGGAUUCUGAAGGGUUGACUUGAUCUGGUGUGAUCCCUACUCCACCAUCUCAGACAUUCAGGAGACCCAGAGGAAGGGUUACAGCUGUAAGCAAGCACACUGUGGUUGGAGAAAGGGCAAAUAUUUUAUUCAGGAGGUUCUGCAAGCUUUUUGUCUUGCGGGGGGCAAGGGUUUUCUGAAGUUCUCUUGCCCAACAGUCCAUAAAAACCCAGAGGUGAUGAUUCUGAAAUUUCUUGCAUUAUUUUAAGGUGUUGCUUGAUCCAUCAGUGUUGUUACGCUAAACCUUUGCCAUAUCCAACAGUGAAUGAACAUCAAACAUGGUAUAUCUUUGUUUCUCCUACUCUCUGCUUAUGAAAUACUAUGAACUGCAUGAUAUAAGCAAAUCUGUUAGGGAUGCCUGAAAGUGAAGGCAUUUGCUUCAGUGAGGAAACCUGGUUUAGAUGCUAUUCUGACCUACUCCAGCCCCAUAAUUUAUCAUUUAUUUUGGAAGUCUUUGCUGUUCUCCCCAUCUAGCAAGACAUUUCUGUUCAGCUUUGUAUUUUGCUAAAAAGGGGAAAGAGAAUCUUUAUCUUUGCUGGUCUUAUAUUGCUAUCCUUGCCACUACCCCAUCUUGCCUAGCUUUCCAAGCAUGGAAUCCUAUAUUUUUAAGAGUGUUGGAAUUGUAUUUGACAGCUUCAUUACAUGUGAAAUUAUUUGCAUAUCCAAGACCAACCACAAGUGGAAUUGUUCCAAAAUGAGAUUCUGUGCAAUCUAACAACUUCUUGUGCCCCAUGCUGAUGAAAGGGCUUCACUUUUUCAUUAUGGAUUCUUUUAACGCAAAAUAAAAACCUUUUUUGUUUUAA